UACGGAAGGGUGCAAGCGUUACUCGGAAUUACUGGGCGUAAAGCGUGCGUAGGUGGUUUGUUAAGUCUGAUGUGAAAGCCCUGGGCUCAACCUGGGAAUUGCAUUGGAUACUGGCAGGCUAGAGUGCGGUAGAGGGUAGUGGAAUUCCCGGUGUAGCAGUGAAAUGCGUAGAGAGUCGGGAGGAACAUCUGUGGCGAAAGCGGCUCACUGGACCGCAACUGACGCUGAGGCGCGAAAGCUAGGGGAGCAACAGG
rnacentral:rRNA from 1 species